rnacentral:SRP_RNA from 1 species
UGUUGGUUCUCCCGCAACGCUACUCUGUUUACCAGGUCAGGUCCGGAAGGAAGCAGCCAGAGCAGACGACGCGUGUGCCGGGAUGUAGCUGGCAGGG